rnacentral:rRNA from 1 species
UGGGGAAUUUUGGACAAUGGGCGCAAGCCUGAUCCAGCCAUGCCGCGUGUCUGAAGAAGGCCUUCGGGUUGUAAAGGACUUUUGUCAGGGAAGAAAAGGCUGUCGCUAAUACCGACAGCUGAUGACGGUACCUGAAGAAUAAGCACCGGCUAACUACGUGCCAGCAGCCGCGGUAAUACGUAGGGUGCGAGCGUUAAUCGGAAUUACUGGGCGUAAAGCGAGCGCAGACGGUUACUUAAGCAGGAUGUGAAAUCCCCGGGCUCAACCUGGGAACUGCGUUCUGAACUGGGUGACUAGAGUGUGUCAGAGGGAGGUAGAAUUCCACGUGUAGCAGUGAAAUGCGUAGAGAUGUGGAGGAAUACCGAUGGCGAAGGCAGCCUCCUGGGAUAACACUGACGUUCAUGCUCGAAAGCGUGGGUAGCAAACAGGAUUAGAUACCCUGGUAGUCCACGCCCUAAACGAUGUCAAUUAGCUGUUGGGCAACUUGAUUGCUUAGUAGCGUAGCUACGCGUGAAAUUGACCGCCUGGGGAGUACGGUCGCAAGAUUA